rnacentral:rRNA from 1 species
UACGGAGGGAGCUAGCGUUAUUCGGAAUUACUGGGCGUAAAGCGCACGUAGGCGGCUUUGUAAGUUAGAGGUGAAAGCCUGGAGCUCAACUCCAGAAUUGCCUUUAAGACUGCAUCGCUUGAAUCCAGGAGAGGUGAGUGGAAUUCCGAGUGUAGAGGUGAAAUUCGUAGAUAUUCGGAAGAACACCAGUGGCGAAGGCGGCCCACUGGACUGGUAUUGACGCUGAGGUGCGAAAGCGUGGGGAGCAAACAGG